GCAAGCUCUGUCAUAUAAUGGUGCAACUUGCGGCGGUAUUUCAGUUGGUGGAAGAGGGUUCCGGCAACUGGAGGGUAUCUCUUGUUCUUCUUUUGCAUAAAUAUUACUCCUAAAAGGAACAUGACUGCUAAACUUAUUGCAAUGGGAGGUAAAGGAGUGGAAAGAAGAAAAUCCAUGACCAAAAUUCUUAUGGGAUAUUGGAGUUGACAAUGAAGUUAGAACUAGACAACCUGAGUCCCUUAAAUCAUUGUAACAGCUGCCUCGCAACAAAAAAGAUAUCAAGAGGGAUCAUUGGGAUCAGACAUAUAUUAGUUUCGAAGUGGUUCAAUUAUGACUGUACUCUACUGGUCAUAAUUUCUAACGGUAUUGGCAAGACAGUAUUAGAUAAGCUUUCACGCGACUUCAAUUUUGUAGUUUCCAAUCGGGUAAGGUUAUAGACUUAUAACCUCUCACAGAGAAAGACUCCAGAACGUCUCUAACUCCUCCUCAAUUAAUUAACUUCUAGAUACCUAACUGGCUAACUGUCUCUCGUCAAUGAAUACUGCUCUAUUUACAGAUUGGCUUCUGUAUGAUCUCUCACAGCUCAAUUUGUGUUGCUGCUGUAUCAUUGAAAUAAGUAUUCCCACUUCAGGCGGUUUAAUUUGUUUAAAGGAUAUGGAUUAUGCACAAAACAAACAAACGCUAAGCAAAAUGAUGCUGAUAUUUGUCAAAAAUGCUACCCUGAUUUGCUCAGCGUUUAGCAAAUGAAGCCCUGUUAAAGAGUUAGGGGUCAGAAAGCUCACCUUCAAGUUGCCAUUUGAAAUAUAAACAACUAAAUCACUUAAACUAAGAACAAAUGCUUAACAACAUAUUAAUUGCACAUGAUGCAUCGAUCAUAGCCAUCUCAUAAUUUAGUAGAUGAGCCUCCAAAAUAUACUUCAAGGCAGGUAAAGCCAUUUACACAUUUAAAAUAUAAACAAUUUAUAACUAGUGUAUUUCAACUGUUUUUUGUGGUUAAAAUCAUGAUGCAUAUUGGCCAUGCCAAAAUGCAAACGCUAAGCAUAGUGAUUCUGAAUUUCUGAUAUCUGAAAAGUGCAGUACUAUGUCGAAAUUAUGAGAGGAAAAAAACCCUCUAUCCCUUAUUUACUCCGUUAGCAUAUAGCAAACGGUCACAGAAGCUCAUUAGGUCUCAAGUCUCAAGGAUCAAGAGAUUUGAGACUGUGUUCUGUUUCCCCCUUACGUACGUUUGGUAUUUCUAUUUUUGGUUUUGAGUCCUAGCAUGUUCCUCUUUACCCUGGACAUCGAUCAUCUUUCUCACGAAAAUUCUUGUAUUCACUUUGUAAAAUUUUAUAUUUUCACUCUUAUUUCUAGCAACCGGACCAAUAGCAGUUAGAUUGUCAAAAGAUUCUGUUUUUGUAACUAUGAUUAUACUUCCAUUGAAUACAUGAAGAAUCCCAUUUUCUCAAAAAACAAACAGAGGCUUUCAGUGUUCUUGGACAGAAUAUACUGCACUUAAACCAAGUGAAUCAGCUCAAACCAAUAUCAUAAACAAUCAAAAUCAAUGCAGAUCAAGCUUCCACAAAGAAGUUGAAGACAAAUAUCAAAAUCCACAGAAUAUACACUUAGAUACUGCAUAUACCUUAGACUUAUUUCAUAAACAAAUCCUUCCACCAAAAGGCACAUAAAGUAAUUAAUUUAUAUGCACGCUAGACAAUCAGAACAAUGAGAAUAUACAACCAACCUAAAGUGCAAUAUCUGUAGUAUGUGAUCUCUGAUACUGUACGUGAGACAUUGCAAACUUACUUGGAUAUCUAUUGAUUUGCUACAGUUUGCAGCUUGAUGAAUUAUGCCAGCCAGUUUCAAUCCAUUUGUUUUGAAGAUUUCACUGCUGAAGUCCCUGAGUACUUUGGUUGAGAACUGAGAGCUUGAUGCCUUCCUCUGAUGCAUCCAUUUGUCCCCAUCCACAGCGUAGAUCCCAUCUCCCAUAUAAUCAGACAGAAUUUCAUGCAGGUACAAUCCCUAAAAAGAAAUGGUCGACUUAAGCUUUAUGAUCGAUCAUUUUAUAAUUGGGCAUUUAUAUUCCUAAUUUUCUUUCAAAUAGUGAUAUUGCAUGUCUGGCCUUUGGGGUUAAUAUAUAACGUACCUUGCUAUAGUUCGCAAAGUUUGUUUUGAACACGUAUUCCACAUUUGCAGGAUCUGCAGUGUAAACAAUAGUCCUGAACAAGCUAAGCAUUCUGUAAGUUCUGUAUUUGUAGGCAAGCUCAGUCAUGUAAUGGAAUCAGUUGGUGUAAGACGGUUCCGGCGAGAGGAGGGUAUCUUUUGUUGUUCUCUGGCCAAAAAAAAUAACUGCUAAAAGAACAAGUACUGGUAACUUAUUGCUAUCUUAGCUAAAGGCAGGCUGGAAAGAAAAUCCAUGACCAAUAUAUAUGCUUAUGGGAUAUUGAAGAUGAUCAUGAAUUUAGGACAACAUAUAUAUAUAUAUAUAUAUAUAUAUAUNNNNNNNNNNNNNNNNNNNNCAAUUACCUCUUUAAGGACACAUGAGUAAUAAUGUUGUAACUAAUUUUUUUUACUAACUUUAAGGACUCAUAUUAUAAUUUUAAGGAUUAAUAUUACUACUUUGAGGACACUUUUUACAACUUGAGGACAAAGUUGACGCAUCACAUGCAUUAACACACCCUAACCUUACCCCUCAUCAAACUCUUAGUUUUGUAGUCUAAAAUGCAUUGAUAUCAAGUUGCGUUCGUGUCGUGUUGAGCCUUCGCAAGGGAAGUUACAAUUAAUAGUCAUGUUUAUGCUAACUUGAUUUUUAUCAGUAAGUUUUGUGUGAUAUAUAUGUAACAACUGAUUUGGACAUGAAAACCUUGUGAGUAUUUGGAAAUUGAUAUCUCUAAAUUGUCCAUCCGUCGAUGCUACUGAUAUAUAUACACACCAACUGAAUCUGCUCAAGCUAUUAAAUCAAUGCAGAGCAAACUAAUUCCACAAAGAAAUUGAAGACAAAUAUCAAAAUCCAGAGUAUACACUUAAUUACUGCAUAUACUUAUCUGCAGUGUUCUUAUAAUCAUUUAUAAUUAAAUACACUUCAUGAAAUCCAUCAUCACUUACUGAUUUAUUGUAAUGCCAAAUGAUGCAUAUACCUUGAUUAAAGGCUCAUCAACAAGAAGUUGUUGAUCACAAGUUUGAUGUUUCAAAUAUGAGACUAACAUCUGAUACAACUUUCUUACAAUGCUCAAACUCUUGGAAAGGCAUGAACAUGAAGUCUCUUGAUAUCGAGCGUGACCAUCGUCCUGUAUUCCACCACUUUUGUCUCGUCAGUGAGCUUGAAUAUGUACUUGGUUAAAAGCACAGCACAGAAUAUCUUCAUUUGCAGAUAACUAUAAUCCUUUCCCAGACAAAUUCUUGGACCGGCCUGCAUCAUAACUAUAUCAUCAGAACAUCUAUAACUAAGCAACCUUAUCAAGAAAAUAUUAGCUUGGUGUUCUUCGUAUAUUACACUGAAGGUUAUGAAUUUGAAAGGGUUUUCUUCUUUGAAAUUGCCAUUUCCGUCAAGCCAUCUCUCUGGCCGGAACUCUUCUGCAUCAUCACCCCAUAUAUACUUCAUCCGGCCCAUUGAAUAAGGUUGGUAUACGAUCAUUUCUCCUUUUCUCACACUAUGUCCAUCUGGCCAGGUAUCAUCAGAAAAACAAACCCUCGCAUUCUAUGAACAAAUACGAACAUCAACAUUAUUAAUAAAUUAAUUAGAAGUAAUGUAAAGAGAGAUUCAAAUCAAGAAGAACAAAUUAAGAAACGUAACAUUCAGUUCAUGUAUAUGACAUUUAGAGUAAUGCUACGUGAACCACCUAGAGUCCACCUUACGUGGCAAGCUGACGUGGCAUAUCCACAUUAUCAAUAUAAGAUUUCUAAUAUUUUAAAUUUCUGUUUUUUAUUAUUAAUUACGAAAUCUCAUUUUUCAUUUUGUAUUCUUUGAACCCUAUCAUAUUAUCUAUUUAUCGUCUAAUCGUUUAAAACAAAAUCCUAACAAAAAUCCUUAUAAUAAGUCUUCAAACAGACGUGAUUCUAUCAUAUCUUCCUCUCAUCUCUCCCAUCCUCCCACCUUAUCUUCAAUUCAAUUGAUUAGGAAUUCUCAAUCUGAUUUUGGCUUUGUCAAUCACAAACAUUCCAUGCCUAUUCUCUAGAAUAGUCAGAGAAUGUUUUUUUUUUUUGCCCUUUUCAUAACAUGUUUGGAAUUAAGGGUUUGGGGGAGUGGAUUUGAAUUGGGGUUCAUAUUAUAGCUAUGAUUUUGAAUUAGGGUUCAUACUCUCACAUGUGAUUUUGAAUUAGGGUUCAUACCCAAACCCUUAAUUCCAAACAUGUUAUGAAAGGAAAAGAAAGAUGAAGAAACAGUAAUCACAAUUAGAAUAGGCAGAGGAUGUUUGCGAGAAAGCCGAGAUCAAACUGAGAAUUCCUUUAUCAAUUGAAUUAAAUAAGAGGUGGGAGGAUGGGGUGAGAUAACAGGAUGGAUAGAACUACGUCGGUUUUGAAGAUGUAUUGUACAUAGGCAAAAAGAACUUCUUCUUUUUUUUUGGUAAGGAUUAGAAAGACAAAGGAUAUAGGGUUUAAAAAAAAAUAAAAAAGAAAAAAAAAAUUAGUAAUUAAUAAUAAAAAAACAGAAAUUUAAAAUAUUAGCUUAUAUUGAUGACGUGGAUAUGCCACAUUAGCUUGUCACGUAAGAUGGGCUCUAGAUAUUUCACCUAGCAUUACUCAUGACAUUUAUCCUAGAUGUUUAAGUUACCAUUGGAACUGCAGGAUAGAGUCUCAGUGUCUCGGUCAAGGCUGCAUGGAGGUAUUGCAUUUUAUUAAGGGCUUCUUCAGUAAGGUUGGCUGCAACUUCAUCAGCGCUUGAAGUAUUAUUCAGACCUGUUGCUUCUCUAACUUCCUGUGCAAUCUUCUCUUGUAUAUCAAGAUGCUUACACAUCAUAUAAAUAAACCAUGAAAGAGCAGAAGUAGUUGUGUCUUUGCCCGCAGCAAUAAAACUGAGGACCAUGUCUCUCAAGUACUUUGGAUCAGUCUCUUUAGCUUCCAAUAGUUUGGAAAUAAAGUCUCUUCUCUUUAACUGUGAUUUAACCUCAAAAUAUCAGUAACAUCAAAUCAAUUAAUACUAUGUUAUUUCAACCUAGAGUAGAAAGGAAGGUACGUAACUCACAGGUUGCUCGUAUUGUUCUUCUGACUUACGGAGUUUUUCAAUCUUUAUGUUGAUUAAAUUGUAUACAAAGUCAUCCAACACUUUCAUAUUUCUUCUUAUCGCUGCUUCCGUACCAAUGUUUAAGAACCGUUUGAUCCUCCAAAAGACAUCAGCAACACGAUAAAUGAUAGAUCCGCUUGCAUAAGCAACAGCAUUGGCAAACCGGAUAUUUUCAUUGUUUGUUGCAGACAUGGUAUCUAGAUCGAUACCAAGUAGAAUCUUGACGAUUGAAUCCAAGGUUGAUUGCAAAAACAAAACCUUCCAACAGUACGAAGAUCAUUAAUUCAUAGACUGAUAUUCAACAUUAAAAAAAAAAAAUCAACAAAUCUGAACAUACAGUGCUACAUAUGUAGUAUAUAUGUUACUCUUGUCUAUUGCAACUCACUUGCAUCUCUAUUGAUUUGCCGCAGGUUGCAGCUUCAUGAAUUCUGCUAGCAAGUUUGACUGCAUUGGUCUUGAAGAUUUCACCGCUGAAGUCUCUAAGUACUUUUGUUGAGAAUUGCGAGCCUGAUGCCUUCCUCUGAUGCCUCCAUUUGUCCCCAUCCACAGAAAAGAUCCCAUCGCCCAACACAUCAUACAGAAUGUUAUGCAGGUAAUAUCCCUACAAAAAAAUGGUGUACAAACUUAAGCCUCUUGAUCAAUUAUUUUUAGCAUAUAUAUUCCUAUGGAUUUUCAUAUAUUGAAAUAAAAAUGACAGUUUUUGUACCUUGCCAUAGUUAGCAGCAUUUGUUUUGAGCACAUAUUCGACAUUUACAGGAUCUGCCGUGUAGACUGUGUAUCCAAAAAAGCCAAGUAUCCUGUAAGUUCUGUACUUGCAUGCAAGCUCUGUCAUAUAAUGGUGCAACUUGCGGCGGUGUUUCAGUUGGUGGAAGAGGGUUCCGGCAACUGGAGGGUAUCUCUUGUUCUGCUUCUUCCCCAGAAAAAUAACUCCUAAAAGGAACAUGACUGCUAAACUUAUUGCUAUGGGAGGUAAAGGAGUGGAAAGAAGAAAAUCCAUGACCAAAAUUCUUAUGGGAUAUUGGAGUUGACAAUGAAGUUAGAACUAGACAACCUGAGAGGGAUCAUUCGGAUGAGACAUAUAUAGUUUCCAAGUGGUCAUAAUUGCGACUGUACUCUACUGGACAUAGGCAUGGGAUUCAGUAUUAAAUAAGCUUUCAUGGGACUUCAAUUUUGUCGUUUCCAAUCGGGUAAGGUUAUAACCUCUCCGUCUCUAACUUCUAGACACCCAACUGUCUCUCGUCAAUAAAUACUGCUCUAUUUACAGAAUGACUUCUCUAUUUCCAAAAUCGCAGGAAAAUCAAAUCGAAUUGAAACGAGAAAAAAGAGAAUCGGAAAGAGAUUACGUCUUUGAAUUGGAGGAGGCCGAGGUCGCCGAGAUAAGAGACGGUGAGGUGGGCGGACUCGAUGGGGAUGAUGAUCUGGACGAGCUGCAUAUGUUCCACGUCCUUCCAGUCCCCCUUAUCUCUUCUCCAUUUAUGUUGUUGGGUCCGUGAGGAAAUUUCCUGCUUUUUUAAAAGCAUUUCCGACAGCUUUUUUAUUUUCUUUACUUUUUUAAAAGCAUCUCCGACAGUUUUCUCGUAUUAUUGGUUUUCUUGUUUUUACUUUUGGGGAAGAUUUUGGUUAUUUUGUUUCAAUAGAUUUUCUAAAACUUUCUCCAAAAUAAAGAAUGUGAUGAGAGAGAAAGCCAACUUCCUUAUAUUUACAGCAAACUCUAAAAUUUUAAAGAAAGAUUUGGGAAAUG
rnacentral:lncRNA from 1 species